rnacentral:lncRNA from 1 species
GGCAUAUGGAGAUUCCCAGGCUAGGGGUCAAAUCAGAGCUGUAGCCGCCAGCCUACACCAGAGCCACAGCAAUGCCAGAUCCGAGCUGCAUCUGCAUCCUACACCACAGCUCAUGGCAAUGCCAGAUCCUUAACCCACUGAGCAAGGCCAGGGAUUGAACCCACAACCUCAUGGUUCUUAGUCAGAUUCGUUAACCACUGAGCCACAAUGGGAACUCCCCCAAUACUUACCUUUUAAUUAACCUUUUGACUGUCCCAUAAUUACACCGAAUUCCUGUGCUGGUUGGACAAUAUUAAACAAAUAGGUUGGCCCUUCUCCAGCUACAAUCUUUUUUUUUUUUUUAAGUAUUGAUUACAAAGAGCAACCUGAAGUUCCCUGGUGGCUCAGCAGGUUAAAGAUCUGGUGCUGUCACUGCUGUGGCUCGGGUCACUGCUGUGGCCCGGGUUUGACCCCUGGCCCAGGAAAUUCCACAUGCCAGGGGCGUGGCAAAAACAAAAACACCCCAUGAAUGCUCAAUGCUUUAAAACCAAGUGAGUUGAUAAAGCCCUUAAGGAGGGCUUGAACCACUUUGGAGGCUUUUUCUACCCAGGUGGGAUAUGCUUCCACUCCUCCCCAACAAGUGCUCACAGACACUAGCAGGUCAUCUGACACUUUCUGCAGCUCGAGGCUUUUGAGUCAGGUCUACCUUCCUGUCCUCAGAGGGGCAGGGUCCCCUGUGAGGAGUCCGAAUCUGGGCACAUCUAAAAGCCCACUUUUUGGCCCUGUCCUUUUUCUAUGAAGAUCUCUCCCCCAAAGAACAGCUGGACACUGGCAUAUCCAAGAAACUCUUUCAGGGUGAGGUCCCCUAGCUGGCAUCCUAGAAGCUCUAAGAAUGAAGGAUUUUGUUCUCCUGCAAAGACCCCCGGGACCGGAACGGACUGAGAUGUUUUCUCUGCCACCUUGGGGUUGAACACGUAUGUUGCACCUGCAUCAGAAAGUCCAUCGGCUCACUCCCCACUGUCAAGUGUUACCUGGGGCUCAUUUGGGGAAACUGGAAUUGGGCGCCUCAAGUCCGCAGGAGCCUGCAGGUCUCUUCAUUUUACCAUCACUGUUCCUCUUCCUACCAUCUGAGAGGCGCCCGUCUUUUACUGUUUUCCUUCCUAUUUAGCCAAGGGCAAUGUGCUUCUCAAUGCCCUUCCUCAGGACGGUAACACACUAUUCCUUCCCCAUUGGUGGCUUAGCUCUCUUUGGGUCACUCCCAUUCUGAGAAUCCAAUGUCACUGCCAGAAAGAUGGCAUUCCGUUUGGCAUCUUCCUUCUUCUGUCAUUGUUCCCUGUUACUGACCCCUUGCAAAGCAGCAUCUACCGAUUGAGAAGCAUUCCUUCCCGAUGCCUCAUCUAACUCGUUAUUCUCUUAUGUCUGGGGGCCCUGUGCCCAAUGAAGGUCAAGUUUACCACUCUAGCAUUUCUAGGGGCCUUGGGAUCUGCAUCAGCAUAAGAUCUGUAGGCCUGAUAAAUCUUCAUUUGGUUUUUGAAUUUCUUGAAUUUUGUUCAACUCUUGCUUUGCUUCCCCUUCUCAAAGCCCUGCCAAGAAGCCCUCAGGGGGAGUUCCCAUCGUGGCUCAGCGGUUAACGAAUCUGACUAGGAACCAUGAGGUUGUGGGUUCCAUCCUUGGCCUCAAUCAGUGGGUGAAGGAUCCAGCGUUGCUGUGUGCUGUGGUGAGCUGUGGUGUAGGUCGAAGAGGCAGCUCAGAUCUGGCAUUGCUGUGGCUGUGGUGUAGACCAGCAGCUAACAGCUCCAAUCAGACCCCUAGCCUGGGAACCUCCAUGCACUGCGGCAGUGGCACAAGAAAUGGCAAAAAGACAAACAACAACAACAACAACAACAACAAAGAAAACGCCCUCAGGGUAGUGCUCCAAUAAGGGGCUUCCUUCCUCACUGCGGUCCCAACUUGGCUCAGCUGCGGGUACUGCCAAGGGAGCCUCAGGUGUACCAUGGUGGGUCUGCUAAGUGGGGCUAGAAAGCCUCUUCCUGUCCUUAUCAACGACCAUUCGCUUUUCUUCUAGAGGAUCCUCUCUGGAAGGAGGGUUGCCAAUCACACAAGUCUGAUGCAGAGAAAGGACUCUGCAUCCAUAGAAACCCAGGUGGCUGGCCAUUUGCAUUGAAGCCCCCUAUGGGAUGAUGGGACAAAAGCAUAAGGGAAAUGGCCCUGCCCCAGGGAGUGGCUCCUGGUCCAAACUGGGACCUGUUGGAUGAUCUUAGAUGGUGACACCAGACCAGGUCCUGAGUCCCAGAAACCAACACAGGUUUUUGAGUUGGUCCCUGUAAGGAGGGGGAGCCAGUCUGACCACAUCCUGAGCCCCAGUAUUGGGAACUGGGGCUGGAAGGGACGGGGAGAUGGUGCGAGGAAUGGCCAGAUGGGCAGAGCAGCCGGAGCAGCUGGACAGCCAGCCUGGCCAGAGGUUGGAGCGACACAUCCUCACCCUCGUUCCCUCUCUUUUCUUCCUAUUGGACAGAUUUUCCCCUUGGCUUUCUUUUAUCCUGAGGUGACAACCGUCUGAUUUUUUCCAACCCUGAUAGAAGAGCACAAAUGCUUGCACCUAGAGGAUUUCAUCAUUCUUCCCCACUUCUUCACACAGCAGCUCUAGAGCCAUUCAAAAGCCACCAUACAACCAUCAAUAGCAAUUGGUCGUCUCUAAUCAUUAAAAGGAUGCUUUUCUACCUUGGCAUCAAGGAACCAGGCUAAUUCUGGGAUGGGGCUUUUGUUGAUUUUAGGAACCAGGUUCCCAAAAUCUUUCUCUUCUUCCUAGGAAUGUCUACUUUCAGACAAGGAGAGGGUCUCCCCCCUACCACCCUUUCCGUUCCUCCAUUUGAUAGCAGUAAAAGUUUUGAGUAUCACAAAUCUGAUUUGGCUAUAAAUGGAGAAAAGGGACCAAAAAAAAAAAUUAAGCAAAAUUGCCAGACUCACCAAGAAGAGGAGAGAACCCAAAUAAACAAAAGAAUGAAAAAAGGAGAAAUCUCACCGUGGAAGCUAGUACUAAAAAAAAAAAAAAAAAAANAAAGUAUGUAUAUAUUUGUGUGACCGAGUCACCCUGCUAUAUAGCAGAAAUUGAGGAAACAUUGUAAAUCAACUAUAUUUAUUUUUAUUAUUAUUUUUUUUUUUUUGUCUUUUUGCCAUUUCUAGGGCUGCUCCCGUGGCAUAUGGAGGUUCCCAGGCUAGGGGUCAAAUCAGAGCUGUUGCUGCUGGCCUACGCCAGAGCCACAGCAACGCAGGAUCCAAGCCAAGUCUUCAACCUACACCACAGCUCAUAGCAACACCGGAUCCUUAACCCACUGAGCAAGGCCAGGGAUCGAACCCGCAACCUCAUGGUUCCUAGUUGGAUUCAUUAACCACUGCGCCACAAUGGGAACUCCAUCAGCUAUACUUUAAUUAAAAAUUUUUAAAAGGAGAAAUUUCAACAGAUACUGAGGAAAUAAAAAAGAACACUAAAAAUACUAUGAACAAUUAAACUCCAACAAGUUUGACAACCUAGAAGAAAUGGGCAACUUUCUAGAGACAGCCUGGCUAUACUGAAUCAAGAAAUAAUUUGAACAGGCUGAUCACCAGAAAUGAAAUUGAAUAUGUAAUAAAAAAAAAAACACUUCCUACAACAAAAGUCCAGGAACAGAUGGAUUCACAGCCAAAUUCUAUCAAACAUACAAAGAAGAACUUACACCCACCCUUUUUAAAACUCUUCCAAAAGAUUGAAGAAGGAACUUUCCCAAAGACAAUCUAGGAGGCCACUAUCACCCCAAUACCAAAACCAAAGAUACUGCAAGCCAUAUCUUUGAUAUAGAUGCAAAAAUUCUCAUCAAAAUUUUAGCCAACCAAAUCCAACAACACAUAAAAAAAUAUCAUUCACCUUGACCAAUGGGAUUCAUCCCAAGUUCACAAGGAUGGUUCAACAUAAUGCAAAAUCAACGUCCUAUACCACAUUAGGAGCCAAAAACCACAUGAUCAUCCAUCUCAAUAGACACAGAAAAAGCAUUUGACAAAAAUCCAACACCCAUUCACGAUUAAAAAAAAAAAAAAAAAAGCUUUUACCAAAUUGGGUAUAGAAGGAAUGUAUCUCAUCAAAAUAAAAGACAUUUAUAACAAACCCACACCCGAUAUAAUACUCAAAGGAGAAAAGCUGUAAGCCUUCACACUAAAAUCUGGAAUAAGACAAGGAUGCCCACUCACACGACUUUUAUUCAACAUUGUAUUGAAGUCCUAGCCACAGCAGUUAGACACAAGAAAUAAAAAGUGGAGUUCCUGUCGUGGCUCAGUGGAAACGAAUCUGACUAGGAACCAUGAGGUUGUGAGUUCGGUUCCUGGCCUUGCUCAGUGGGUCAAGGAUCCGGCGUUGCUGUGGAUGUGGUGUAGGCCGGUGGCUACAGCUCUGAUUUGACCCCUAGCUUGGGAACCUCCAUAUGUCGCAGGGGCGGCUCUAAAAAGACUAAAAAAAAAAAAAAAAAGAAAUAAGACCUAUCCAGAUUGGAAGAGGUAAAGUUGUCACUCCAUGAAGAUGACAUGAUACUAUAUACAGAAAACCUUAAAGACUCCACACAAAAACUACUCAAAAUGAUAAAUGAAUUCAGCAAAGUAGAAGGCUACGAGGCUAACAUUCAGAAGUCACUUGUGUUUCUACAUACUAAAAAUGAAAUAUUAGAAAAGGAGUAUUAAAAAUACAUCUUUUAAAAUCCCACCCCCCUCAAAAUACAAUACUAGGAAUAAACCUGACGAAGGAGGUCAAAGACUAAUACACUGAGAACUGUAACACAUUAAUCAAGGAAAUUAAAGAGGAGUAAAGAAAUGGAAAGACCAGUAUUGCUCCUGGAUUGGAAGAAUAAGUAUUGUUAAAAUGGCCCCACUACCCAAAACAAUCUACAGAUUUAAUGCAAUCCCUAACAAAUUACCCAUGACAUUUUUCACGGAAAUAGAAUAAUCCAAAAAUUUAUAAUGGAACUAUCAAAGACCCAGAAUUUCCAAAGCAAUCCCGGGGUGGGGAGGGAGCAGGAGGCCUAACUCUCCCAGACUUCAGACAGUAUUACAAAGCUACAAUAAUCAAGACAGUGUGGUACUGGCACAAAAACUGACAUAUGGAUCAAUGGAACAGCAUAGCCCAGAAAUAAACCCAGACACCAACAGUCAAUUCAUUUUCAGCAAAGGAGGCAAGAAUAUAAAAUGUGGAAAAGACAUUCUCUUCAGCAAAGUGGUGCUGGCAUAACUGGACAGCUGCAUGUAAAUCAGUGGAACUAGAACACACCCUCACACCAUGCACAAAAAUAAACUCAAAAUGGCUUAAUGACUUAAGCAUGAUACCAUAAAACUCCUAGAAGAGAAUACAGGCCAAACAUGUUGAUAAAAAACUGUACACAUAUGUUCUUAGGUCAGUCUCCCAAGGCAAUAGAAAUUAAAAACAAAAACAAAUGGGACCUAAUCAAACCUACAAGCUUUUGAACAGCAAAAGAAACCAUUAAAAAAAAUGAAAAUACAACUUACAGAAUGGGAGAAAAUAGUUGCAAAUGAUGCAACUGACAAGGACUUAAUCUCCAAAAUAUACAAACAACUCAUACAAAAACAAAAAAAAACCCAACUCAAUUGAAAAAUGAGAAGACUUAAAUUGACAUUUCUCCAAAGAAGACAUGCAGAUGGCCAGUAGACACAUAAACAUAUGCUCAACAUCACUAAUUAUUAGAGAAAUGCAAAUAAAAAUAAAAUGAGGUACCACCUCACAGCAGUCAGAAUGAUCAUCAUCAAUAAAUCUAUGAGUAACAACAACAACAAAAAAAAGGAGUUCCCAUUGUGGCGCAGCAGCAAUGAAUCUGACUGGGAACCAUGAGGAUGCGGGUUCAAUCCCUGGCCUUGCUCAGUGGGUUAAGUAUCCAGCAUUGCCAUGAGCUGUGGUGUAGGUCACAGACGUGGCUCGGAUCCUGCGUUGUUGUGGCUGUGGUGUAGGCUGGCAGCUGUAGCUCCAAUUCAACCCCUAGCCUGGGAAUCUCCAUAUGCUGCGGGUGCGGCCCUAAAAAGCAACAAAAUAAAUAAAUAAAUCUAUGAGUAACAAAUGCUGGAGGAGGUGUGGAACAAAGGGAACCCUCCUACACUGUUGGUGGGAAUGUAAAUUGGUACAACUGCUAUGGAAAACAGUAUGGAGGUUCCUCAGAAAACUGAAUAUAGAACUACCACAUGAUCCAGCCAUCCCACUCCCGGGCAUAUAUCCGGACAAAAUUUGAAUUGAAGAAGAUACAUGCACUGCUAUGUUCACAGCAGUACGAUUCACAGUAGCCAAGACAUGGAAGAACCUAAAUGUCCAUCAACACAUGAACAGAUUAAGAAGAUGUGGUACCUAUACACAGUGGAACACUACUCAGCCAUAAAAAAGGAAAGAAUGCCAUUUGCAGCAACACGGAUGCAACGAGAGCGUCUCAUAUUAAAUGAAGUUCGUCAGAAAGAGAAAGACAAAUACAUAUGAUAUCGCUUAUACGUGGGAUCUGAAAUAUGGCACAGA